GGCUGGUCCGAAGGUAGUGAGUGAUCUCAAAUGAGUGUUCAAAGUCAGUUAACAGGUUGAACUCCUUGUUCAACUAUCUCCCCCCUUCUCACUACUGCACUUGACUAGUCAAAU
rnacentral:Y_RNA from 1 species